AUCGCAUCCAAAAAUCGAAUGAUUCUGAAAUUGCUAUACAGGAUGAAGUUAGAUUAUGUCGCAAAAAGACUAAAACACUCCUGAUCAAUUUUUUUUUUUUUUUGGUUCCCGAUGAACCUGUUCGUCUCUAGAAUUCGACCUUGGUGUCUGAAAUAAUUGAUAAGAAGCCAAUCCAGAAUGUGGUUCAGCAAAGCCCUGGUUGGAUUUUUCCUGGAUUAGAACCCAACUUGACUUCAAAUCUUCUAGUUCGAUGGCUAGCUCCUAAGGGACAAACUUGAAGAGAUUCUUACACCAUACAAAUUGCUGUUCCUGGUUUGGAUAACGGGAAAGAGAUAGAGCUUCAACUGGUGAAGUUCAUGAAUUUACUUUCCAAGCAUUGGAUGAGUCUGGAAAUCCUCGUUGCUUAAGUGGGGAUGACCCUAGAAGACCCAGAACUCAGAAAUGGCAGGUCCGGCGUACGAUUUUCUGGUUAACCCUCUCGGUGCCGUGAGAAAAACAUUCGAGAAGGCGAUCGCGUCAGGGUCCGACCCUUCCUCGUUGAGCAAGGUGGUCUCUCUCAGGUUCAUCCAAAUUUCGAGGGUCUGUACAAUCUGACCAUCAUUCUGCUUUACAAGCACUUCGAAGGUCUCAAAUUCACCCCUUGGAAAUUUGUAUACGAUCGAGUGCUUCAAAACAUCCCAGUCAGGUUCAUCGCAAGCAGUGUUGAUUUACGAGAAUUUCAGACUUGUAAAGCUUCUGACUCGACCAGGGAUGUUUGGUGUAGAAGAUGGACCAGGCUUGGAGAAAACGAUGAUUGUGAAAUAAGUGAUGAUGGUAGAUUUCGAUGCUUAGAUCCAGAAAUUUCCAUGUAAAUCUCCCUCGUAUGAUGGUUCUUUGGGGAUUCUAGAGAGUAAUGGAUGGGUGCAUUCCGCUCAUUGUUCAUGAGAAUUGUUCUCAGUUGAUCCUCCGGGUCGGCGACUGUCGGGUGGAUUUUUUUUUUUUUAAUAUCAAGGAUAGUUUAAUAUUUUCAUAAUAUAAUAUA